GUCGGUCAGCGUCUUGUGAAAGCCCUCGGCUCAACCGAGGAAUUGCUCGGAAUACUGCCGACCUUGAGGCAGGUAGGGGCGGAUGGAACUCUAGGUGGAGCGGUGAAAUGCGUAGAUAUCUAGAGGAACGCCGGUGGCGAAAGCGAUCCGCUGGGCCUGAUCUGACGCUGAGACGCGAAAGCGUAGGGAGCAAACGGGAUUAGAUACCCCGGUAGUCUACGCCGUAAACGAUGCGCACUAGGUUUGACGAUCUCUGACGGUCAUCGGGCCGAAGCCAAAGUAUUAAGUGCGCCGCCUGGGGAGUACGGCCGCAAGGCUAAAACUCAAAGGAAUUGACGGGGGCUCACACAAGCGGUGGAGCAUGUGGAUUAAUUCGAAGCAACGCGCAGAACCUUACCUGGGUUUGACAUGCCCGGAUGCCCUCCUGGAAACAGGAGUAAGCUGCCCUUUGGGUGAAACGGGCACAGGUGCUGCAUGGCUGUCGUCAGCUCGUGCUGCGAAGUGUCGGGUUAAGUCCCUUAACGAGCGAAACCCUUAUCGCUAGUUGCCAGCGGGUCAUGCCGGGGACUCUAGCGAGACUGCCGGUGUUAAACCGGAGGAAGGUGGGGAUGACGUCAAGUCCUCAUGGCCUUUGCGCCCAGGGUUUCACACGUGCUACAAUGGAGCGGACAGAGCGAAGCGAACCGGUGACGGGGAGCAAAUCGCAGAAACCGCCUCCCAGUUCGGAUUGGAGUCUGCAAUCCGACUCCAUGAAGUUGGAAUCGCUAGUAAUCGCGUAUCA
rnacentral:rRNA from 1 species